rnacentral:rRNA from 1 species
GAUGAACGCUGGCGGAGGGAGGAAUACAUGCAAGUCGAGCGAACAGACGAGGAGCUUGCUCCUCUGACGUUAGCGGCGGACGGGUGAGUAACACGUGGAUAACCUACCUAUAAGACUGGGAUAACUUCGGGAAACCGGAGCUAAUACCGGAUAAUAUAUUGAACCGCAUGGUUCAAUAGUGAAAGACGGUUUUGCUGUCACUUAUAGAUGGAUCCGCGCCGCAUUAGCUAGUUGGUAAGGUAACGGCUUACCAAGGCAACGAUGCGUAGCCGACCUGAGAGGGUGAUCGGCCACACUGGAACUGAGACACGGUCCAGACUCCUACGGGAGGCAGCAGUAGGGAAUCUUCCGCAAUGGGCGAAAGCUUGACGGAGCAACGCCGCGUGAGUGAUGAAGGUCUUCGGAUCGUAAAACUCUGUUAUUAGGGAAGAACAAAUGUGUAAGUAACUAUGCACGUCUUGACGGUACCUAAUCAGAAAGCCACGGCUAACUACGUG